AGAGUUUGAUCAUGGCUCAGUAUUGAACGCUGGCGGCAGGCCUAACACAUGCAAGUCGAGCGGCAGCACGGGGAGCUUGCUCCCUGGUGGCGAGCGGCGGACGGGUGAGUAAUGCAUAGGAAUCUGCCCGGUAGUGGGGGAUAACCUGGGGAAACCCAGGCUAAUACCGCAUACGCCCUACGGGAGAAAGCAGGGGACCUUCGGGCCUUGCGCUAUCGGAUGAGCCUAUGUCGGAUUAGCUGGUUGGUGAGGUAAUGGCUCACCAAGGCGACGAUCCGUAGCUGGUCUGAGAGGAUGAUCAGCCACAUCGGGACUGAGACACGGCCCGAACUCCUACGGGAGGCAGCAGUGGGGAAUAUUGGACAAUGGGGGCAACCCUGAUCCAGCCAUGCCGCGUGUGUGAAGAAGGCCCUCGGGUUGUAAAGCACUUUCAGUGGGGAAGAACGCCUUCCGGUUAAUACCCGGGAGGAAGGACAUCACCCACAGAAGAAGCACCGGCUAACUCCGUGCCAGCAGCCGCGGUAAUACGGAGGGUGCGAGCGUUAAUCGGAAUUACUGGGCGUAAAGCGCGCGUAGGCGGCUUGAUAAGCCGGUUGUGAAAGCCCCGGGCUCAACCUGGGAAUGGCAUCCGGAACUGUCAGGCUAGAGUGCAGGAGAGGAAGGUAGAAUUCCCGGUGUAGCGGUGAAAUGCGUAGAGAUCGGGAGGAAUACCAGUGGCGAAGGCGGCCUUCUGGACUGACACUGACGCUGAGGUGCGAAAGCGUGGGUAGCAAACAGGAUUAGAUACCCUGGUAGUCCACGCCGUAAACGAUGUCGACUAGCCGUUGGGUCCUUCGCGGACUUUGUGGCGCAGUUAACGCGAUAAGUCGACCGCCUGGGGAGUACGGCCGCAAGGUUAAAACUCAAAUGAAUUGACGGGGGCCCGCACAAGCGGUGGAGCAUGUGGUUUAAUUCGAUGCAACGCGAAGAACCUUACCUACCCUUGACAUCCUGCGAACCCUUCGGAGACAAAAGGGGUGCCUUCCGGAAGCCCAAAAACAAGUGGCUCCAUGGCUGUCCUCACCCCCCGGUUGUGAAAAAGUUGGGGCAAAUCCCCCUAA
rnacentral:rRNA from 1 species